rnacentral:lncRNA from 1 species
ACAUUAAACAAUAAACAAUCCUCCAUAUACUAUGCAUCAAUUUUACCAUUCUAUUCCUUUUUCUUCUCCUUAUCCCUCAAGGUUCUCAUCAUAUAUGCAUCAAUGCCUAUCUUCUCAAAAAGCAUACCUAAUAUAGGUGCACCUGUAAUAAAAGUAGCAUGUCAAAUAUAUUGUAUGAAAGUUGUGAAAGUAAAGUAACAAAAUGCAACAUGUUUCAUCCAAGAGUAGGUCAAAUAUAUGGUAUGAAAGUUAAGUAACAAAAUGCGACAUGUUUCAUCCAAGAUACAUGCACCAGUUUUGGUGUAAUAGCUCCCAAACGCCCAACACAAUUUUCUUAACUAAUUCAAAAUCUUGUAUAUAAUGGCAAUAAGGUAGCAUAUAACGUUUGUCCCUCUAGUUAAGCACUUACACUAAUGUUAAAAUAGUCCCAAUCAAAAGUUUUAAAACGACAAAGAAAAUAAUUAGCUGUAUAAAAGAAGUGCAUAUCAUGCAAUUUCAUUGUACCAAGGAAACAAAAUUAGUCCUCUAUUGCAAUAUAGAAUGCACUGGUUCCCAUAUCUGGUUAAUGGUCACAAACCUGUUAUGGUUCAGGCAGGGUGUUUUCAGGCUCAUUAAAACCAGAAGUGAAAUGUUCCAUUGGUGCGUGAUUUUCUGCGAAUUGGGCACGAAUUGGUGUCACCAAACCAAUUCGCAAAAGUACCAAAAAUUGGUACUCACAAACCAGUUCACAAUUCUCGUGGCACUCUAGCGAAUUAUGAUACUAUGACUCAGACAAUUCACAAAAUACCUAUUUCAGAUGCCAUUAUAGGUUGAGUUAAAAUGAAAAUGGUAACAAUCCCAAAAGGAAUAGGUCAUUACACUCUUCAUAGAGAAGCAUAAGACUAUAGGAGGGUAUAUAUUUCACAUGAGGAUCAAUACACAGAGAACUUGAUAAGUUUCAUAAACAAAGGAAAAGCAGCCAUCAGCCUAUGCAGCACUUACACAGACAGUUGUAAAACUAUUCUACCGAUACAUUCAUCUAACUCCUAGAAUCCAUGAGAUUUUUCAAAUUCUAAAAAGUUCAAGUUCAACCAACGUCAAUAACCAAAUUUAAUUAAAAAUAGAAACAUUUUUGAUAAAAAAAUGUUAUAAAGUAUAGACGCCGCCAAACUAACCCAAAUGUGACAGAUAAUUAAUUGAUAUCCAGUCACAAUAUGUAUAUAUAUUAGAAUUAAAAUACGAACAAAUUUUCCUCGCCCAAAAGACAAAACCGGCCAGAUACUGCUACGACUCCGCUACGAAAAUGCUAUUCACUGGCAAAUAGCGGCUGCUAUUUCCGCUUCUCUAAAUAGCGGAAAGCGGACCUAUAGCAUAGCGGGGAGGGGGUCUACCGCUACGCUAUCCCGCGCUAUAGCGCUGCUAUUAACAUCAUAGAGAAAAACAGUUAUUGGAAUGAACAACUUUGGUCAAUCAACCUACACCAUAUUUAUACUACAUUUUGUUUGGGGACUCUAAUAGAUUUAAACCAAUAAGUCAUUGUGUAUCUAUUUUUCAAGUUUCCAUUCUAAUCCAGUGAAUGAUCAGAGAUAGAGGAGUACAUUUUCAUAAAGGUGUUGUGCACACUUUGUGAUGAAGAACAUACAUAAUUAGUCAUGAAUUCUAAACAGGACAAUUUGUGAAGGGCUACAUAAUUAGUCAAGUAUAUCAUUCAAAACUUGUAAAAAAUCUGCCAGUAAAGACAUGACAUAUUGAUCCAUAUCAUGAUUAGUUAAUAGUAAAGACCAAUAUAGUUAGCAAUUAAAACUUAAGAGUGAUUAAUAAUAAAUCACCUUAAACUUUCAACUACAACCACAUAUUCUUUUUCAUUCCAUCACAUGUAGUUAGAUACAAAUGUGAAUAUCAUAUUCAACCUAUAUUUCACUAACAUGUUAUGAAAAAAUCAAAUGCAAAGAGAUCCAAAUUUUGUUAUAAAACACAGCAACCUUUUUAUUUAACCUUUGAAAUUGCAGGUCUAACCUGUUGUUGUUCCAUGCGGAUCUCCACUUACCUUCCAAAUCUGGAAUAAACAACACAACAGAAAACCAUCAAAAUCCAGCUCAUAUGAUCAUCAAUCAAUAGAUAGCAUUUAAGAAAUAAUUAAGUUUGCAAAAGUGAAACAUCAUCCAUUUGAUUUAAACCCUUUUGCAAAAGUGAAACUCAUAAGUAGAAACCAGGAAAAAGGAAAGAUAGACACAGUGAAAGUCAUUAACAUAUAAAACCAAAAAGACAUUAACAUAUAAACAAAAAUGAAAGAUAGACACAGUGAAAGACAUUAACAUAUAACUUUCUUACCACUUCCACUAUCAAAUGAUCAAUAUCCAAAUUAAUCAAUAAAUGAAAAUUGAACCUAAUUGAAAUUUAGAGGAAAAAUGAACCUGAAAACUGAAUAUAAUUGGAAAAAAUACCAGACAUUCAAUGAAAGAAGCCAUGGACUCCAACAUUUGUUAAGCUCCUCCAAGUUAUGCAUAUAGAAGUUAUACCACUGUGUAUUAAAUCCAUGUACACCUUUCAUAAUCAAAAGACCUAAAGUGUUAGGGAACAUAUAGGUUGUAGAGAAAGAAAAAACCAUAUAUUGAUCAACCUAAUAUUCGUAGAGAAAAGGCCAAGUNN